GAAUGCUGACAUAAGUAACGAUAAAGCGGGUGAAAAGCCCGCUCGCCGGAAGACCAAGGGUUCCUGUCCAACGUUAAUCGGGGCAGGGUGAGUCGACCCCUAAGGCGAGGCCGAAAGGCGUAGUCGAUGGGAAACAGGUUAAUAUUCCUGUACUUGGUGUUACUGCGAAGGGGGGACGGAGAAGGCUAUGUUGGCCGGGCGACGGUUGUCCCGGUUUAAGCGUGUAGGCUGGUUUUCCAGGCAAAUCCGGAAAAUCAAGGCUGAGGCGUGAUGACGAGGCACUACGGUGCUGAAGCGACAAAUGCCCUGCUUCCAGGAAAAGCCUCUAAGCAUCAGGUAACAUCAAAUCGUACCCCAAACCGACACAGGUGGUCAGGUAGAGAAUACCAAGGCGCUUGAGAGAACUCGGGUGAAGGAACUAGGCAAAAUGGUGCCGUAACUUCGGGAGAAGGCACGCUGAUAUGUAGGUGAAGCGACUUGCUCGUGGAGCUGAAAUCAGUCGAAGAUACCAGCUGGCUGCAACUGUUUAUUAAAAACACAGCACUGUGCAAACACGAAAGUGGACGUAUACGGUGUGACGCCUGCCCGGUGCCGGAAGGUUAAUUGAUGGGGUUAGCGGUAACGCGAAGCUCUUGAUCGAAGCCCCGGUAAACGGCGGCCGUAACUAUAACGGUCCUAAGGUAGCGAAAUUCCUUGUCGGGUAAGUUCCGACCUGCACGAAUGGCGUAAUGAUGGCCAGGCUGUCUCCACCCGAGACUCAGUGAAAUUGAACUCGCUGUGAAGAUGCAGUGUACCCGCGGCAAGACGGAAAGACCCCGUGAACCUUUACUAUAGCUUGACACUGAACAUUGAGCCUUGAUGUGUAGGAUAGGUGGGAGGCUUUGAAGUGUGGACGCCAGUCUGCAUGGAGCCGACCUUGAAAUACCACCCUUUAAUGUUUGAUGUUCUAACGUGGGCCCCUUACCGGGGUUGCGGACAGUGUCUGGUGGGUAGUUUGACUGGGGCGGUCUCCUCCUAAAGAGUAACGGAGGAGCACGAAGGUUGGCUAAUCCUGGUCGGACAUCAGGAGGUUAGUGCAAUGGCAUAAGCCAGCUUGACUGCGAGCGUGACGGCGCGAGCAGGUGCGAAAGCAGGUCAUAGUGAUCCGGUGGUUCUGAAUGGAAGGGCCAUCGCUCAACGGAUAAAAGGUACUCCGGGGAUAACAGGCUGAUACCGCCCAAGAGUUCAUAUCGACGGCGGUGUUUGGCACCUCGAUGUCGGCUCAUCACAUCCUGGGGCUGAAGUAGGUCCCAAGGGUAUGGCUGUUCGCCAUUUAAAGUGGUACGCGAGCUGGGUUUAGAACGUCGUGAGACAGUUCGGUCCCUAUCUGCCGUGGGCGCUGGAGAACUGAGGGGGGCUGCUCCUAGUACGAGAGGACCGGAGUGGACGCAUCACUGGUGUUCGGGUUGUCAUGCCAAUGGCACUGCCCGGUAGC
rnacentral:rRNA from 1 species